rnacentral:rRNA from 1 species
AUUGAACGCUGGCGGCAUGCCUUACACAUGCAAGUCGAACGGCAGCGCGGGGGCAACCUGGCGGCGAGUGGCGAACGGGUGAGUAAUAUAUCGGAACGUGCCCUAGAGUGGGGGAUAACGUAGCGAAAGUUACGCUAAUACCGCAUACGAUCUACGGAUGAAAGUGGGGGAUCGCAAGACCUCAUGCUCGUGGAGCGGCCGAUAUCUGAUUAGCUAGUUGGNGGGGUAAAGGCCUACCAAGGCAUCGAUCAGUAGCUGGUCUGAGAGGACGACCAGCCACACUGGAACUGAGACACGGUCCAGACUCCUAC